rnacentral:tRNA from 1 species
AUUUAUAUAGUUUAAAGAAAACAUUAUUUUUUCAAAAUAAAAUUAAUUUAAAAUUUAUAAAUA